CACGUAGGGUGCGAGCGUUGUCCGGAAUUAUUGGGCGUAAAGAGCUCGUAGGCGGUGUGUCGCGUCGGCCGUGAAAACCUGCAGCUUAACUGUGGGCGUGCGGUCGAUACGGGCAUCACUGGAGUUCGGCAGGGGAGACUGGAAUUCCUGGUGUAGCGGUGAAAUGCGCAGAUAUCAGGAGGAACACCGGUGGCGAAGGCGGGGUCUCUGGGCC
rnacentral:rRNA from 1 species